CCUCCGAUUCUCUCCUCCCAAACCAGAGCUCACCUUGCCGAUCUCGCCGCCCGCCGUCUCUCUCAGUCUCUCCUCACCGACAAAGAUCACGGCUUUUUUCUCUGUUUAAUCGACGGAAUCUCUCGUCUUAAUUUUUUUUUCUUCUGGUAGAUCGAUCCAGCUACGAGAUCAAUCAUUAAUCCUGAAUACCAAGGCUUUCGCAGAUGAACUUGGAAUCCCAUUCUUGGAAACAAGUGCUAAGAAUGCUACCAAUGUCGAAGAAGCUUUCAUGGCCAUGACUGCUGCAAUCAAGACAAGAAUGGCGAGCCAACCUGCAGGAGGAUCUAAGCCACCAACGGUCCAGAUCCGAGGACAAUCUGUUAACCAGCAAUCAGGUUGCUGCUCCUCUUGAUUCGCUUUGGUAACACUUAACCAUAUUAUCAUUCGUUUGCAUGUAAGAAAUCUAAACAACGUUGCUUCUUAUAUCUUAUACUUUUGUAUUUGGUUUUUUAAUUUUUCACUUAUGUCCAAAAGCUUUUAAAUUCUUUGUAAUGGUACUUGGAUUAAUAAACUCCUUUAGUAAAAGUUCCUUCUUCUUA